GUGUUUUAGCAUGUGCGUUGAUUAGCGAUUGUGGCAUUUCAGUCGAAAGUAAUUGUCAUUUUUCAUGCAUGAUCCAUUGCCCUCUAUAGGAUAGACCAGGGAUCAUAUAGUUGUUCCUCCAGCCGGAAUUUCUGGAAUUCUGUACUCAUGCUGCUUAUGUAACAGAGCCGCUCCCCACCAAACAUACAAAUAGGGUGCUAGCGGAGGAUCUGAGGGCCAACGGUUUCAGAGGAGCAGCUACCGAAUGAAAAAAAAAAAAAAAACAUCUACACUAUGGGAAUCACCAGGGGAUGACUGUGGUGUCCAAACCAACAACCGGUUUCCUGUGGUAUCAGAGGAUUUCAUGCAUCAUAAAUCAAGGACGAGACGAGGAUGCCAUCCUGAGGAGGUGCUGGCACACACUGAGAAGACUGAACUGAUAUAAGCAGUGAGCAAUCUGUUCUGCAUGCUAGUGCUGUUUUUCCUGUGACUUCAACAAUUUAGCUUUAGGCUAAAGUUAACUCAAAGUGUAACUCCGAACAUUGUGAGUCCUUGUCAGUGCUGUCCUAGCCCACGUCUCUUCGUGUGCCGGCCUAGACACGUAGACUCACACCUGUUUCUUUAUCAAGAUUCAUGGGACGAUUCACUGACUGCGUCCGAAAGCUGAGAAAUGCUGCCUUCACAGAUGGUACAUGGUGGUAGAUAGGGAAGUAUUACAUGCUGUCUACUAAGAUCACUUUGUGGUGAUGGUUUCUUAAGGCAGUAUAGAUCGUUCACUGACUAUGAUAUUCCAUACAGUGUGCAGUUUAAAAUAAAUACAAUUUAAUCUAGAGUUUUAUGUAAAAAAUUUCAGAUUUAGCAAUUUCUAGUC